GGUUCUAUCCUGGUUGCCAAGCAACAGGCUACCUGAGCACUCUCCCUCUCCUCCUCCAUCAAGAGGGAGAUUGUAUGGGACUUGAACUUUUCCUAAGGCCUGAGGUGCUUGAAGCUGACAUUCCAGGGCUGUUCCUGGCAUAGCUGGCUCCUGAGCCCGGCUAUUUAUAAAAUAGAAGACACCUUGGCCCUGGGAUCUUGAACCAAACUGAAACAGCUUGGGGGUUUCUUCCUCUCUAAUCGUGAGAACAAAAGAAAUGGGAAGGAAAAAAAACUCUUGGAUCUCCCUCCCCUCAUUGCCUUGGCUCUGGGGAAUUAACUUGCAUCCUCAUGCUGGCAACAUCAGGAUGAUACUGACUCAGCCAUCCCUUCAACUCAGACGUUCCUGGGGUCCUGCUGCUGCCUCUACUCUGCUCUCUGCAUUUCUCCUGCUGUUCGUUGGGUGAUUCAAACCACCUUAUCUAUCCUAGCUUCCCUGGUGCCGCUGGGGGCUGUCUCCUCCACUGAAAACACCCUGCCACACCACCUGUCUUGUCAAAAUCCUCCCCACCCAUCCUUGUCAAGCUCACACCACUGCCACUCAGCCGAAAUCCUCCCCGUCGACAUCCGGAGAGCAGAGCUAUCCCGGGUUUCUGGCAUUUGUUACAUUGUUACUGUUUUAUCACCGUGUAAACACUUGUGUGAUUCUCUUCCUAAUUAGAUGCUCUAAAGGUCAAGGGCCACUGGUUAGCAGCUGUCACACAAAGUGUGCCGGAUCUGUCCUCAGGACUGUUGACUGGAUUUAGAAAUGGAUCUACAGAGACAGAUCUGGCAGAGAGGACACAGAGGACAAAUGGGUGGGAGGCCUCCAUGUCUGUACAGCUGUUUAUUGGGAUAUUUGGUGUGUCCCCACCCCGGAGGAAAACACUGAGAGCAUCAUUUCACCCUUCUGGACUACAUCUGAUUUCCCAGUCCAGAAAUUAACAAGCACAUGACACUAUUCUGGCUUUUUCACCAGGAUUCUGGGGGUUGAACUCUUGUUCUUAUGCUUACAACACGAACACUUGAUUGGCUGAGCUCUCUCCACCCAGCAGUCGCCCUCCUAAGGUCCCUCUGACCGCCUGGCACUUGCCCAGGGGGAGCCAUCCCUGGGGGGGGGGGGACUAGCUUCCAGCUCUCCAAGGCUUCAGUAAUUCUCCCUUUCCUGCCUGAGUGUCCCCCUCAGCCUUCUGGUUCCCCUGUUCUGGCUCCCCUGGCACUUAGAAAGAUCGAGUUGGGUGUUUGCUGCCAUCUAGUGAAGGAAAUGUGCAUAGUUCAACCCCUGCCUGGAGCCAGUGCUUGCCUUCAGAAACCCAUUCCUUGCUCUAGAAACCCAUUCCUAGCUAGGGCCCAUGUAAGGGUGGAUGGACAUAUGUAAGGGGGACUGAAGGAAAAAUUAGGGUUUUCCAGUAGAGUCUCACUGGAUAUAUAAAUUACACUGAGGGCAGACCCCAUGCUCAUCAGUAGAUGGCCAAAACAAAAUAAACUCAACGGUAUUUCGUAGAUUUUUU